GACGAACGCUGGCGGCGUGCUUAACACAUGCAAGUCGAACGAUGAAGCCCAGCUUGCUGGGUGGAUUAGUGGCGAACGGGUGAGUAACACGUGAGUAACCUGCCCUUAACUCUGGGAUAAGCCUGGGAAACGGGGUCUAAUACCGGAUAGAAGCGCCUACCCCAUGGUGGGUGUUGGAAAGAUUUAGCGGUUUUGGAUGGACUCGCGGCCUAUCAGCUUGUUGGUGAGGUAAUGGCUCACCAAGGCGACGACGGGUAGCCGGCCUGAGAGGGUGACCGGCCACACUGGGACUGAGAUACGGCCCAGACUCCUACGGGAGGCAGCAGUGGGGAAUAUUGCACAAUGGGCGGAAGCCUGAUGCAGCGACGCCGCGUGAGGGAUGACGGCCUUCGGGUUGUAAACCUCUUUCAGUUGGGAAGAAGCGAAAGUGACGGUACCUGGAGAAGAAGCACCGGCUAACUACGUG
rnacentral:rRNA from 1 species